GUGUAUGGCUAUGCCACCCUGAACACGCCGGAUCUCGUCUGAUCUUGGAAACUAAACAGGGUCGAGCCUGAUUAGUACUUGGUAUGGGAGACCACCUAAGAAUACUAUGUGCUAUAGGUG
rnacentral:rRNA from 1 species